rnacentral:rRNA from 1 species
GAUGAACGCUGGCGGCGUGCCUAAUACAUGCAAGUCGAGCGGACUGAUUAGAAGCUUGCUUCUAUGACGUUAGCGGCGGACGGGUGAGUAACACGUGGGCAACCUGCCUGUAAGACUGGGAUAACUUCGGGAAACCGAAGCUAAUACCGGAUAGGAUCUUCUCCUUCAUAGGAAAUGAUUGAAAGAUGGUUUCGGCUAUCACUUACAGAUGGGCCCGCGGUGCAUUAGCUAGUUGGUGAGGUAACGGCUCACCAAGGCAACGAUGCAUAGCCGACCUGAGAGGGUGAUCGGCCACACUGGGACUGAGACACGGCCCAGACUCCUACGGGAGGCAGCAGUAGGGAAUCUUCCGCAAUGGACGAAAGUCUGACGGAGCAACGCCGCGUGAGUGAUGAAGGCUUUCGGGUCGUAAAACUCUGUUGUUAGGGAAGAACAAGUACAAGAGUAACUGCUUGUACCUUGACGGUACCUAACCAGAAAGCCACGGCUAACUACGUGCCAGCAGCCGCGGUAACAC